UACGUAGGUCCCGAGCGUUGUCCGGAUUUAUUGGGCGUAAAGCGAGCGCAGGUGGUUUAUUAAGUCUGGUGUAAAAGGCAGUGGCUCAACCAUUGUAUGCGUUGGAAACUGGUAGACUUGAGUGCAGGAGAGGAGAGUGGAAUUCCAUGUGUAGCGGUGAAAUGCGUAGAUAUAUGGAGGAACACCGGUGGCGAAAGCGGCUCUCUGGCCUGUAACUGACACUGAGGCUCGAAAGCGUGGGGAGCAAACAGG
rnacentral:rRNA from 1 species